AGUUGACCGGAAUGCCAGAGCCAAUUUUAGACUUCAACUGUAAUUAUGUUACAGCAUUGGUUGUGUCCCCAAGCACUUGCAUCCACUCUUGCUGGAUCAGGAGAGUCAGAAUCUCUGAGCCCUGGCAGGUCUGAGGCUGCGAAGUCUCAGUACAGGUGGGAAGAGGUGCCAAGAAGGUGGGAAGGAGAAAAAAUUGCAGGUGAUCAUCACCUCUUUUGACUGGGACAGAAGACCAUGUAUGCAGUCAUGAAAACACCCAGCGUAAAACAUAAAAGGAAGGAGUAAUGGACAUAAAUAGAAGCCAAUAGUCGAAGAUAGAAAACAUUGUAUUCAACAGAAUGCCAUUCAGAAGAGCUGUGUAUUUUUUCCGCGGAAGAAACACCUUAAAAACCCACUUAGAGUGGAAGACAAGAUCCCUAAACUGAUCCAGAUUACCAAGAGAAGUAUCAAGAGUUACUUGAAAGAGAGGACUUUUUUCCAGAUUAUGAAGAAAAUGGUAUAGACCAAUCGGCAGCUGGUGAUCCAUAUUUGGAUGAUGGUGAUGAUGAAAUGGACCCAGAGACAGAAGAAGCUUAUAACAAUUUGGUUUGGACUCAGAGCAUAAGUGAAAGCGAUAAAGCCAAAUUUCAGCAUAUCAGUUUUAUAAAGCAAUUUGGGUUAUGGUGAUUUGGCAGAACAUAGAAAAUGAAGAAAAUGUGUCACACUUAGACCAAAUUAAGGAUGUUGAGUUAUGUUACUGAUGUAUGCAACUUUAAUGUUGCAUAACACUAUCUGCCAAAAGAAACUUUAUU